rnacentral:rRNA from 1 species
GAUGAACGCUGGCGGCGUGCUUAACACAUGCAAGUCGAACGGAGAAAGGGUAGCUUGCUAUCUUUUCUUAGUGGCGGACGGGUGAGUAACGCGUGGGUAACCUGCCCUUUGCAGGGGGAUAACAGUGAGAAAUCACUGCUAAUACCGCAUACCAACUUCUUUCGCAUGAAAGAAGUUUGAAAGAUUUAUCGGCAAAGGAUGGACCCGCGUUGGAUUAGCUAGUUGGUGAGAUAACAGCCCACCAAGGCAACGAUCCAUAGCCGGCCUGAGAGGGUGAACGGCCACACUGGGACUGAGACACGGCCCAGACUCCUACGGGAGGCAGCAGUGGGGAAUAUUGCACAAUGGGCGAAAGCCUGAUGCAGCGACGCCGCGUGAAGGAUGAAGGUCUUCGGAUUGUAAACUUCUAUCAGCAGGGAAGAAAGGGCCUAUGGCCUAUGACGGUACCUGACUAAGAAGCCCCGGCUAACUACGUG